rnacentral:lncRNA from 1 species
GAAGAACUAAACCCUUGAGAGGUUCCAUGAGUUCUUAAAGCUAGAAAAUGAAACCGGAAACAUCACCAGACAGGAGGCUGUCAACAUGGUACCGCCGCUCUUCCUUGAUGUACAUCGGGAUCAUUUCGUACUUGAUCAUAUGUGUGCUGCACCAGGUUCAAAAACAUUCCAGUUGCUGGAUGUUAAUACCAAUCAACAAAUUAAACCAGGAUCACUACCUGAUGAAAUGGUUAUAGCUAAUGAUCUGGAUGUCUAGAGAUGUAAUCUUCUUAUCUACCAAACAAAAAAAGUGCACUGCUAACUUGAUAGUCACAAAUAAUGAAGCCCAACACUUACCUGGGUGCCCCUCAGACAAAAAUAGCCCUAAAAGCUUCUGAAAUGGAAUUCGAACCAUAAAUUAGUCAACUUCUUAUGAUCGAGUGUUAUGUGAUGUUCCCUGUAGUGAAGAUGGUACCCUCCGCAAGGCUCUAGAUAUGUGGAGGAA